rnacentral:rRNA from 1 species
UACGAAGGACCCGAGCGUUAUCCGGAUUUAUUGGGUUUAAAGGGUGCGUAGGCGGACACGCAAGUCAGUGGUGAAAUCUCCCAGCUUAACUGGGAAACUGCCAUUGAAACUAUGUGUCUUGAGUACAUUUGAGGCGGGCGGAAUGUGUCAUGUAGAGGUGAAAUUCUUAGAUAUGACACAGAACACCAAUUGCGAAGGCAGCUCGCUAAACUGUAACUGACGCUGAGGCACGAAAAGCGUGGGGAUCAAGCAGG